AUAAUUGUGCUUCAGGAUAAUGUUGCAAAAAUUCUUCCAUCUGGGCCGUACAUAUUUCCUCAUAUGUCCUGAAGAUGUGAUCAUAUUUCUUAUUAUAAAUAACUUGACAAAAAGUUCGGAAGAAAAUAGAGGUGUCAUGUAUAAGAAAUAGAGACAGGAACGCCAGAGAAAUUAUUUUGUUACAAACCAAUCAGCAGGCGAUUGCAGGCGACACCAUCAGCGGGAAGCAUUUGCCUUAGAGCAAACUCCCUGAAAGGUGUUGAUCCAAGUGGUUCACUGGCAAGUGCAGGGUAAAAGCCUUUUUUUCUUCGGCAAUCUGCAUUUUGAAGUACA
rnacentral:lncRNA from 1 species